rnacentral:misc_RNA from 1 species
GUUCCCUUCCAUGUAUAGAGGACAACCCAGUUCCCUGAGUAAUCAAUUUCAUCUACAAAAAGUUCUGUUUUCCUUUAACAAUGGCUUCCCUCUCCUUUCUUUCUUGUCCUGCCCUGUUUCUUUCCCUAUGGGUGGUGGUUCUGCUAAUUUCACCUUCUCAUUCACUCACCCCCAUCAAAACUACUGUAACGAACAAUACUAAUGCUUCUGUCGUCGUCAACAGCAAUGGAACUCCUCCAACUAGUCCUCCUCCUCCCGUCAACAGCAAUACGAAUUCUAGCAGCGAUGGAACUACUACAAGCGUUUCUCCAUCAAUUGAACCAAGCCCGUCCAAUUUCGUUCCUCCACCUCCAACUAAAAGAUCAAGAAAAAUUGUGAUAAUUUUGGCGUCAGUUUUGCCUGUUGCAAUGAUUGCAGCUUUCUUCAUUUUGAUACGUGUUCGAUACAUAAGAAAGCAAAGAUCUAAAGAGGAGGAAGGAAGAGGAAGCAAUGCAGAUCAUGAGGAAUGGGAAAAUUCAUUGCUUCAGGCAACAAACUUGCCUAAAAAAUUCACGUACCAGGAUUUGAAGUCUGCAACAGAUAACUUCCAUAAAAAACUUGGAGAAGGAGGAUUUGGUUCAGUUUUUGAAGGUAGUUUGAGAGAUGGCACCAAAGUUGCAGUGAAGCGCUUAGAUCGGUUGGGCCAAGGGAAAAAAGAAUUUUUAGCAGAAGUAAAGACAAUAGGCAGCAUACACCAUAUUAGCCUUGUGAGACUUGCAGGAUUUUGUGCUGAAAAAUCUCACAAGCUUUUAGUCUACGAGUAUAUGAGCAAUGGAUCCUUAGAUAAAUGGAUCUUCAACAAAAAUUCAGAAAGCACUCUUGAAUGGAAAAUCAGGAAGAAGAUCAUUCUAAAUAUUGCCAAAGGGUUAGCCUAUCUUCAUGAAGAUUGCGAGAUGAGAAUAGCUCAUCUAGAUAUCAAACCUCAAAAUAUUCUUCUUGAUGACAAAUUUGAUGCUAAACUAUCUGAUUUUGGUUUGGCAAGGCUGAUUGACAGGAACCAAAGCCAAGUAAUAACUCAAAUGCGAGGAACCCGAGGAUAUAUGGCUCCUGAAUGGUUGAGCAGAAAAAUCACAGAAAAGGUUGAUGUAUAUAGUUUUGGUAUUGUUAUCUUGGAAAUUAUUUGCGGAAGGAAAAAUUUGGACCUCUCACAGCCAGAAGAGGAUGAUUAUUUACUUGUACCAAUAGUGAAACAGAAGGCAGAAGAGAAUCAAUUAACUGAAUUGGUUGAUAAGUGCACUAACAUGCAGCAGUUCAUAGAAGAAGCUGUGAAGAUGAUUAGAAUUGCCAUUUUGUGUUUACAUAAUGAUCCCACCAAAAGGCCUUCAAUGUCUAUUGUGGUGAAGGUUUUAGAGGGUGUGAAGACUAUGGAAACUGUUUCUGAUUAUGGCUUUUUGACAUCUACUGUGGUGGAAGCUCCUGCUGAAGUCGUUGUGAUACAUUCAGAACCACAAUCAGCAUCAAUACUCUCGGGACCAAGAUGAAGCAACAAA